rnacentral:lncRNA from 1 species
AGUAACACUCUGGGAGGGCUCAGGCCACAUCACGAAAUGUGACAGGAUAGCCUUGAACUCAUCAAUUGCUGGGGGCACCUCAAACUCAACUCCAAAAUUGAUCUAAUGAACUUUCCCAAACCACAUUCCCUUCUUGCAUUUCUGAGAGAAUGGAUUCCCAUUCAUCUGACUACAGUGCUACCCUGAAAGCAGAUCCAGAGACUAAGAUUCACCUGCAGGUGAUUCAUUUGCAAGGUAAGCUGUCAUCAGUUGGAGGUAAGCGGAAGACAGUAGAGAGUACAGAGCCCUGGACUGUGACUCAGAGGAUGAGCACCAGAUCCAGUUUGCUGUGCCACAGUGUCCUGAAGAUUUUCCUCAGAUAAUCUUUCAUCUCUUUGUUCCUGAGACUAUAUAUUAGAGGAUUACAGAGUGGUGUUAUCACAGAAAAGAACAAGUGGAUUUUUAUCUGAGAUCUACAACUUAUGAAGAAUACAAAUGAUGUAUAUUCUUUUCUACUCUUCAUGUAUGGACUAGAGGGGCUUGCACAGUAGUAAGAAAAAAAUGGCUGAGACCCACAGGAACAAAGAAACAGGACAGGAGUUAGAUGCAGAGAAGAGAUUUCAACAAAAGUUUGGAAAAGAUGCUAACGGUAGCAUAUGAGUCACAGACAGAACAUUGGCACCUUUGUUUAAGAAACUGAAUGUUAAUGUCACAUCUGCCUUUGGAGAUUACAAAUGAAAUGGCUACCUUUCUACUGGAACCCUGACCAGAAGUCUGCCAGUUAGUAAGCUGGCUUAAGAGAUCAAUCUAAAAUUUACAUAAGGCUUUUG